UACGUAGGGUGCGAGCGUUAAUCGGAAUUACUGGGCGUAAAGCGUGCGCAGGCGGUUUUGUAAGCCAGAUGUGAAAUCCCCGGGCUUAACCUGGGAAUGGCAUUUGGGACUGCAAGGCUUGAGUGCGGCAGAGGAGACUGGAAUUCCUGGUGUAGCAGUGAAAUGCGCAGAUAUCAGGAGGAACACCGGUGGCGAAGGCGGGUCUCUGGGCCGAAACUGACGCUGAGGAGCGAAAGCGUGGGGAGCAAACAGG
rnacentral:rRNA from 1 species